rnacentral:tRNA from 1 species
GGAGCCUGAGAAAUGGGACCUGGACUGACUGUAAAUCAGCCGCCUCAUGGCUUCGCAGGUUCGAGUCCUGCCUCCCCCA